GACGAACGCUGGCGGCGUGCUUAACACAUGCAAGUCGAACGGAAAGGCCCUGCUUUUGUGGGGUGCUCGAGUGGCGAACGGGUGAGUAACACGUGAGUAACCUGCCCUUGACUUUGGGAUAACUUCAGGAAACUGGGGCUAAUACCGGAUAGGAGCUCCUGCUGCAUGGUGGGGGUUGGAAAGUUUCGGCGGUUGGGGAUGGACUCGCGGCUUAUCAGCUUGCUGGUGGGGUAGUGGCUGACCAAGGCUUUGACGGGUAGCCGGCCUGAGAGGGUGACCGGCCACAUUGGGACUGAGAUACGGCCCAGACUCCUACGGGAGGCAGCAGUGGGGAAUAUUGCACAAUGGGCGGAAGCCUGAUGCAGCAACGCCGCGUGCGGGAUGACGGCCUUCGGGUUGUAAACCGCUUUCGCCUGUGACGAAGCGUGAGUGACGGUAAUGGGUAAAGAAGCACCGGCUAACUACGUG
rnacentral:rRNA from 1 species